rnacentral:rRNA from 1 species
GAUGAACGCUGGCGGCGUGCUUAACACAUGCAAGUCGAACGGUGAACACGGAGCUUGCUCUGUGGGAUCAGUGGCGAACGGGUGAGUAACACGUGAGCAACCUGCCCCUGACUCUGGGAUAAGCGCUGGAAACGGCGUCUAAUACUGGAUAUGUGACGUGACCGCAUGGUCUGCGUUUGGAAAGAUUUUUCGGUUGGGGAUGGGCUCGCGGCCUAUCAGCUUGUUGGUGGGGUAAUGGCUCACCAAGGCUUCGACGGGUAGCCGGCCUGAGAGGGUGACCGGCCACACUGGGACUGAGACACGGCCCAGACUCCUACGGGAGGCAGCAGUGGGGAAUAUUGCACAAUGGGCGCAAGCCUGAUGCAGCAACGCCGCGUGAGGGAUGACGGCCUUCGGGUUGUAAACCUCUUUUAGCAGGGAAGAAGCGAAAGUGACGGUACCUGCAGAAAAAGCGCCGGCUAACUACGUG